GUUCAUACCAAGCAAGUGUUUUACUCAAUCACUCAAGUGUUUAAGGUGACACUCCAACUUUCUAUUGUUCACAAGUCAUAUGAAACAAAAUUGUCAUUCAUCUCAAAUAAUCAACAUCUUUACAUGUAAAUGUCAUGAAAAGGACUUUUCAAGGCUUGUAAUGAGGUUGGGUUAACAAGAAAAAUUGGUUUUUCUAGAAUGCAAAAUCCUUGAGUCAAGAGAACUAUCAAAAUAUUCCACAAUUAAGCACAACUCUCUCACCAAAAUUUCUCAUUCCCAACUUCUUCCCUUUUCUUUUCUUUUUCAUUGAGCUCGUCUUCAUGCUUUUCUUCUUUUCUUUUCUUUUUCUCAUGAAUUUUUCUCUUUUCACAACAAUUGAGCUCAAUGCCUUUUACUUGCUUUUUCAAUUUUCCCCNNUANNACCCCAAANUUGAACCUUUUCAUCACAUACAAUUAAGCUCAUCCCAACUCAAGGUAAAGAACUUCAAAACA
rnacentral:lncRNA from 1 species